CUAGUGAAUUCUUGAGUAUGCUUAGUAAGCUUGUGUAUGCUGUCUGGCCACUGCUCCAGUGGUGUCAAGCAUUUUAUGGCAUCUAUUGUACAAUUGCUUGGCUUUUGCAAUGUUUGAUGUUCCAGAGAACAUAUCUUUGCUAACUUAAAUGUACCACAUGUGGCUUUGAUUAUUUCGGGGGAUCAUGUAUACAAUUGCUCACCAUUUCGUUCUUAUUUCUUGCUGUUUCAAAUGGCUGGUGCAUAGAGGCUUUUCUUUCUGUUUUUCCUUAUCUAUGCUAACUGAAAUUACUGGAGAUACAAAAAGGGUUAGCUGGCAAGCAUGAACUGUACAUCUUCCCCGACCUUCAGUUCUGAUUGUUUACUGCUUUUGAAGUUUUCCUAGUUAUGUUUAUGUCUCUUGAUGCACCCUGUUUUGAUCAGCUUCCUGGUUAUUUUAUUGCAUGCAAUUCCAUGCCUACAUCCAGCAUUGGGGUUCUCACUGGUGUAACUUGGAGUGGAGCUGGGUUUCCCAGUAACCCAGUUACAACCAAAACAUUUCUAGGUAUUACUCAACUAGAUUUUGAGUGCGCCCAGAUUACCAUAUUGUGCUUGACAUGUGGCUCUGGGUCAGGUGAAGUUUAAGCUAGUUCUUCCAAAAAAAAAACUCUUGCUCAGGAAUCAUGUGAUUGUGCAGUGGAGUUUCAAACAUUAAACAUCCUAAUUAGGUGAAUUUUGCAUCAUUUUUUCCUCAGCAAAGGGAUACACAUGUAACAGACAACAUGCUUAUCAAGAAACUUAUGUGGCUUUAAUUAUUUCAGGUAACAACAUACAUUCCUGGCCACUGGAAUGGGAGAGAAGGGGUCAGAUGAAGUAGUGGUGAGAUGGGGCACAGGCAAGGAAUUGAGCUCUUGAACUUAGGCGGUGCUGUGAUGCCGGCAUGCCCGAGAGCAAGGCUGGGCAUAGGGGAUGUUUUUUGAGUUUCUUCAGUUCUUGCAUAAUUCUGAAUCCCGCAUGAAUGUGAUGGCCACUGGGGUCCAUAUUUGAUUGUAGAAAUUUAGGGUUCAAUUUUGCUAAAGAUCACUGGGGCAUUCAUUUCAUAUAGAGGGCAUGUUUACUCUGCAUUAUCAACAUAGUAAAAAUCUAUAGUGUUUAAUCAUACCAAAAUCAUCGCAUUGUCUUAGAGUAAUACUAUUGAUACAUAAAAGUUUUUGGUUCCUUGUAUUUUGUUUACUCCUAUCAAUCUUGAUCAUUUGCUUGUCAGUUAAAAUUCAAAUGGCAACCCUGAAUGUGCAGAUAACUCCAUUGAUCUGUUGCUUGCAUAUCCUAAAUGUUUUGCAGACCUGACGAGUGCACAUGAACUCCUUUUUCCCCCCUUUCAUUCCGAAACCAAAUGUUUGUUUGACAUGAAUUCCACAAACAUGGCAAAGUUGCUAUUUUGUGUGACCAGUGAUGCAAUCGCCUAUGAUGAUGAACUGAGAUGAUGAUCAGUCAGUCCUUUCAAUGUGGGCUUCAGCUUUGAUCUUCAUGCUUCUGAAUGUUGGUGCAUUUGCAGUGGUAUAAUGAGGAAAAAGACAAGCUUAUGGUAUGAAUAUUGGACCAGCCCUGGAUAAAUUUCGUUAAUUGUCAUCUAGUUGGUUCAUGAAAUGGCUUGAAGUUCUCAGAAUGCUUUAGGUGUGAACCUCUGACCUCAAUUCCAAAUCAGGGAGCACCAUCCACAAUGAUAGUGGUCACCCGGGUAAAGAUCAAUGUGGAGCUGAGGUCAUCAUUUCAAGGUGAUUACCCAAACAAGCCCAUUGUUGAUUUUUGACAGAGCUCAGUACGAAGGUCUGCCCUUUUUUCUUUCUUUUUUAGAAUGGUUCGCUUGAGCUUUUCGAGAUGAAAGUAAUGGCCAUGAAUAGCAAUAUAUCAGCCUCAUGUUCUCCUUCCGUUCCAAAUUGUAAGCUGUUUUGGUAUUAUCAAGAUACACACUGUCUAGAUAUAUAAUUUUAAUUAUUUAUCUAGAAAAGUCAAUAACCUACAAUUUGAAACA